AGCGAACGCUGGCGGCAGGCCUAACACAUGCAAGUCGAACGGAUCCUUCGGGAUUAGUGGCGGACGGGUGAGUAACACGUGGGAACGUGCCCUUUGGUUCGGAACAACUCAGGGAAACUUGAGCUAAUACCGGAUGUGCCCUUCGGGGGAAAGAUUUAUCGCCAUUGGAGCGGCCCGCGUCUGAUUAGCUAGUUGGUGAGGUAACGGCCCACCAAGGCGACGAUCAGUAGCUGGUCUGAGAGGAUGAUCAGCCUCACUGGGACUGAGACACGGCCCAGACUCCUACGGGAGGCAGCAGUGGGGAAUCUUGCGCAAUGGGCGAAAGCCUGACGCAGCCAUGCCGCGUGAAUGAUGAAGGUCUUAGGAUUGUAAAAUUCUUUCAGCGGGGACGAUAAUGACGGUACCCGCAGAAGAAGCUCCGGCUAACUUCGUG
rnacentral:rRNA from 1 species